UACUUUAUAUUAAUUCGGAUUCUUACUUCCUCCACAGGAUGAUUCUGGAAUGAAUUUGGAAUUUUGAUUUAUAAAUGAAUUCUUGAGUCCUUCAUAUUUCUUCUUAUGAACUAGUCUGUUAAUGCUCAAAGUUGGUGAAUACGUGGGUUCGAAGUUCAGCAACUGAUCACUGCUAUCCGAUUUCGUAAUCCAUGUCUUUCUUGUCAGAGUAGGCAGAUGUUUAUCCAUGAUAAUAUUUCUGGUUGGGAAAUGGUGUACAACACUUCCUAACCAUUCUUGUGCAAUUGUUCCAAAUAUUCCAGGCACAUUUUCACACGAUAAUAGGGAAGUCUAGUUUGCUUAUUUUAUGUCUCUUAGUUCAUAGUAUAUAGAUGCUUGACUUUCCAUAGACGUAGAGUCGUAAUGUUAGUGAUUAACCCACUGGGACAAAUUAUUGAUUUUCUUUUUAGUAGAUUCCCUCUUCUUUCCUUAGGCAUUAAUUGUUGCUUAGAUUCAGGAAUAUCUCCUGGAUAAUCCUAUGUAUGUUCACAUGAAUAUACAGUCUUAUGAAAGAUUGGGAGCUCGUUCCCGUCAUAUUUUGUAUUUACCAUGGAGUCAUAGAACUUAUAAGUUCAUCCUUUAUUUUUACUAUUUAGUUUCGAUAGGCUCAUAUUACCGGAUGAGGGUAGAUCUAGAGCUAAUUUAGUUAGUUAUUUAGUAUUAGUGAGAAUUGGUCCAUAAAUCUUCCUGAUCGUUCUUCUUUGGAUAUGCUCCUAUAAAUCUGGUGUCCAUUGCUAGUCCGAUUUUGGAUUAAGUGUCCGAUUCUUCACUUAUUUUGUUUAUUUGGUUGUAUAGGUUCGUAUUACCGGAUGUGGGUGUACGUAGACCUAAUUUAUUUAUAUGAUUUAGUAUGGAUGUGAAUUGGUCCAUAAAUCUUCCUGGUCGUUCUUCAUUGGAUAUGCUUUUGUGAAUCUGUUGUCCAUUGAUAGUCUGACUUUGGAUUGAGUGUCUGAUUCCACAUUUAUUUUGGUUAAUGUGUUUGCAUUCCUUUGGUAUGUUCACUAUUUAUAUUAGUUGGUAUUGGUGAAAAUUAUUCUAUAAAUAUUCCUAGUUGUUCUUCUCUGGAUAUGCUAUUACGAAUCUGGUGUCCAUUGCUAGUCCAAUUUAGGAUUGAGUGUUUGAUUCUUCACUUAUUAUAGUUAUUGAUUUCAUUGGUGACUUUAGUAUAUGUACUUGCGUUAUGGUAUGAAUUGGCUCUCACCUUUGCCUGGUUGUUCGUCCUUGGAUAUACUCCUUAUAAAUCUGAUGUCCAUGGAUAGUUCAACUUUGGAUUUACUGCCAAUUCGACACUUAUUUGUCAUUAUAAAUUAUGUCUCAUCUUUAGCACUUUUACUAGGACUUCGGGUCAUAUUUUGCAAUUUCCGUUAUUUGCUGCAGUGACCAUCCUACUUUCCCUUGAUUAUUAGUGGUGAUUAUUUGUAAUCUUGCGAAUCAACGGGGAAUGAUACACUAAGCACUACUACUCUAGUUUAAUAUUUUGAAAAAAAAAAAAAAAAAAAAAUUUUUUUAAAUAAAAUUUUUUUUUCUGGUGGUUGAAAGGGAAUGUGACGUUCCGCCCCUUAUAGAAUCGAUUAUUGAUGGGAAGAUAUUAUUUAACUAUCCAAAAUAUUAUUUAAUUAUUUUCAGAAUUAUUUUCUUUCAAUGUUUAUUCAAAUAGAACUUAAACCCAUCUCAGAAUUUUUAAAUGCUUGAUGACGUCACAUUUAAAACGUGGCAACAUUGGUUUCCCCACUUUGACAGCCAAUGCUUAGUAGAGGGGUACGAAGGAUUCAGCUGUGAACGUGAGCCUUGGAUUGCCAUUGUUUCUCGAGUGUUCGGUCUGAAUCGUAGUGUGCGGGGUCAUUAGACUCAAUUAUUCACCUCUAAUUCUCAGUUCCAAAUUGAUUAAAUAUUACAAUAAAAGUAUAGUGAAGUUAUCCAGCAGCAGUGGAUUUGAAGAAUUUUAGAGCAUACUAUAUCCAAUGAGUUCUACCCCGCACCUACCAUGAAAUCUUAAAGCCACCCUACAACAACACCAAGGCCAGACCACACAGAGAGAAACAAUCAAUAGGCGACCAGCCUGGAUUAUUUCCACAUUUUCUUUUUUUGAGUACCUCCAGCUGCUUUCCAACAGUUUUGAGUACCUUCAGCUGCUUUCUACCAGUCUUCCUCUCCUGUACCUCCAGCAGGACAGCUGCUAGCGAGAGUUAGCACCCUUGGGUGCUCAUUACAUCAACUUCAAGAUUAGGAAAGAGUGGUUUGUUUGGGAACAUUUACUGUGCUCUUAUUAAAGACAGACUGGUUUUGUGAUAUUUAGUACAUUUUUUUUUAUAGUUCAAUUGCACACACAUUUUUCCUGCUUUAUAUUUUUUAUAGGUUUUUUUUCUUUACAACAUAAUAUUUAAUUGAUAGCGUUCCCCAACACUCUGCAAUCUAUAAAGGUAUAAAUUUCUGAGCUCAGAUAUUUUCCCUGAUAAUAGUAGUCGGUACUCUUAUCUUGAUUAUUUUUAGGCUGUGUUCCACUUUUGUAUAAUUAUUUAAACUCAUUCCAUUAUUUUAGUAUAUGUUUAAUUAAAUUUUUAAAAAUUAACUUCACAUAUUAGUCAAAAUUGUAAUUAUUAACUUUAUUUAACUUGAACUUAUUAACUUUACUUAACUUUAACUUAUUAACUUUAUUUAACUUUAACUUUAAUUUAUUAAAUUCAUAUGAACUUCUGGAUUCUAAUCCCUCAGAUUAGUUUUUGGUUUCACUUGUUAUUAUUACUAUUAUAAACCACGAGUUAGGAAAAGGAUCUGUGUAUCCACUCGUAGGUUUAUUUAUUCAAUAAGGCUUGUGCCUGUCCCACUCACAGUGAGGUAUUUAUAUGUUAUAUAUAGUAUCAGGUAGUAUUUAAUUAAGGUGUACGUAUUAUAAACGUACAAUUAUUAUUUGGUGAGGGUUCUACUAACCUAGUUGUAAGUUGUACUUCCUGUAUUAGAGGUACCCGUAGUCAGUUUUUCUAACCUUAUAAAGAGUAUUCUUAGAUCAUAGUUGUAUGAUGAUUUUGUAAUUGACUUUCACUAGUAUCACUUUUUCCUGUCAUGUUAGAGUUACACACUAGUUACUUGUCCUAACUCAGAGGUUGUUAAAAAGAUCUAGUAGUUACAUUCAAUAAAUAUACAUUUAUGGUGA